GAGCUGUGAAGCAUGGAAUUAGCUACAGUCCCCAUCUCCGGGGCAUCUCCGGCAUCAGCAGAGGGAGGAUAUUAACCUGAAAUGAGACAUUUUUCACUUCACUUGAAUCUCUUCUAAACGUACCAGACAAUCUGGCCUCAGUACUCAGGGAGAAGGAUGGCACCCGACUGCCUCCAUCACCAAGGUAACAUACGUCUGGGCAACCGGCAUAUGAAAGUCACUCUUCAGAACUAAACACAACUAAGAUUAGCUAUAAGGAAGGGAAGGAUCUAUUUUCACUUCUGAGAAAAAAUAUUUUCAGCUAUCAGACAGCUUUCUUUCUGGAGGACAGAUCUCAUCCUUCUUGAUCUCCAAGAUCUGAGGAAGGUACAUGACUGCUGCAGACAACGAAUGGCUUUUUUCUUUAGAACACCUUUGACAUACCUACACCAUUUCUCUACACGGAAAUACUUUGCAAAAUGGGUGUUCCCUGGAGACUGCCAUUUAUCUUAGUAAAAGAUGUAAUAGUGAAGACUUGAAACUGGUAUCCCUUUCCACAAGGACUGGGGGUGGACAUCUCACCCUAAGUCCCACAGCACAACAAGGUUGGAAUCUUGCUCAGGGUCACUUGGGCUGCCAAGUCUGAGCACUCAGAGGUGACACAAGAACCACAGAGGAUGCUGGGCAUGAGCUGAAAGACAUGCUACAAAACUCCAUGGCUUCGGAAAGUUUGGGAGGGAAGAAGUAGAAGAAAAGGAUAGGACAAAACUACACAGUUGACAAGGAAUUCUAGUAUAUCCAAAAUAUUUUCAUGCUUUGAGUGAUACGAACAGAUAGAUUUUUUCAUUUAAUGAAAUUGUUUCUCUGUUUUUUUUCCAGCUGCCUUUCCUAACUGCUUGUUUACAGGCUGAAUUCCACUGUAAAAACAUCAGGCUAGAGCACUUAAAGACACCAAAUAAUGCUUCUGAGAACAGGAGCAGUCAGAAGACGGCAGCAAAUCACGUGCAGCACUGUACAAAUUCUGGAGGUACCCUAUCCAGCAAAAAUUGCUGUAAUUUUCCACCACUGCUACAUCAUCAAAGUGCUUCAGAGAUCCUGUUGGGUUGAAAAGCUCCUUAUCGCCUCAACACUGCCCCAGCCCCAAAAGGAUUUUGGCCAGCUCUAACAUCUUGCCAGUUGUGGGCACAGAGGUGAGCGUGACUGCUCCGAGGUCACACAGACAACCUGCGGCCAAGGCAAGAGUAAAUCCACGUCUCCGGCACCAAAGGCCAUGUCACAACCAAACCCAACUUUUCUCUCUGAUCUUGCUUCUUUCUUGUUCACAUAAAUAUUUGCAUGGCUUGAAUCAAACCACAUUGCAUUUUUUCCCCUUAGGAAAAACAACAAGUACUUAAAAUAUUUCUGUACCUCUCUCCUCCUUUUCAAGGGUUUGGUGGGUGGAAUAUAUUUUUAUUUUUCCUGGCAAAGAAGAAAAGAAGGAGAAGGUCAGA
rnacentral:lncRNA from 1 species